rnacentral:rRNA from 1 species
GAUGAACGCUGGCGGCGUGCCUAAUACAUGCAAGUCGAGCGAACAGACGAGGAGCUUGCUCCUCUGACGUUAGCGGCGGACGGGUGAGUAACACGUGGAUAACCUACCUAUAAGACUGGGAUAACUUCGGGAAACCGGAGCUAAUACCGGAUAAUAUAUUGAACCGCAUGGUUCAAUAGUGAAAGACGGUUUUGCUGUCACUUAUAGAUGGAUCCGCGCCGCAUUAGCUAGUUGGUAAGGUAACGGCUUACCAAGGCAACGAUGCGUAGCCGACCUGAGAGGGUGAUCGGCCACACUGGAACUGAGACACGGUCCAGACUCCUACGGGAGGCAGCAGUAGGGAAUCUUCCGCAAUGGGCGAAAGCCUGACGGAGCAACGCCGCGUGAGUGAUGAAGGUCUUCGGAUCGUAAAACUCUGUUAUUAGGGAAGAACAAAUGUGUAGGUAACUAUGCACGUCUUGACGGUACCUAAUUAGAAAGCCACGGCUAACUACGUG